UGACGUCUAGGCAGUUUUUGCCCCCCCC
rnacentral:piRNA from 1 species